rnacentral:rRNA from 1 species
UGAGUACGAGCUGCUACGGCAGCGAAGUGGGUGACGUCAAGCUUCCAAGAAAAGCCCUAUACCCGUUAAGGCAUGAUGGCCUGUACCCGAAACCGACACAGGUGGGGUGGUAGAGAAUACCGAGGGGCGCGAGAUAACUCUCUCUAAGGAACUCGGCAAAAUGGCCCCGUAACUUCGGGAGAAGGGGUGCCACCGCAAGGUGGUCGCAGUGAAGAGGCCCAGGCGACUGUUUACCAAAAACACAGGUCUCCGCUAAGUCGCAAGACGAUGUAUGGGGGCUGACGCCUGCCCAGUGCCGGAAGGUUAAGGAAGCUGGUCAGCGUAAGCGAAGCUAGCGACUGAGGCCCCGGUGAACGGCGGCCGUAACGAUAACGGUCCUAAGGUAGCGAAAUUCCUUGUCGGGUAAGUUCCGACCCGCACGAAAGGCGUAACGAUCUGGGCGCUGUCUCGGAGAGAGGCUCGGCGAAAUAGAAUUGUCUGUGAAGAUGCGGACUACGUGCACCCGGACAGAAAGACCCUAUGAAGCUUUACUGUAGCUUGGUAUUGUGCUCGGGCUCGGAAUGCGCAGGAUAGGUGGGAGGCUAUGAACCAUUGCUUGUGGGUGAUGGUGAGCCACUGGUGAGAUACCACUCUUUCCGAGCUAGAGUUCUAACAGCCACCCGUUAUCCGGGGGCUGGACAGUAUCAGGUGGGCAGUUUGUCUGGGGCGGUCGCCUCCUAAAAGGUAACGGAGGCGCGCAAAGGUUUGCUCAGGCUGGUUGGAAAUCAGCCGACGAGUGUAAAAGCAGAAGCAAGCUUGACUGUGAGACCUACAAGUCGAACAGGGAGGAAACUCGGCUUUAGUGAUCCGACGGUUCUGCGUGGAAGGGCCGUCGCUCAACGGAUAAAAGUUACUCUAGGAUAACAGGCUGAUCUCCCCCAAGAGUUCACAUCGACGGGGAGGUUUGGCACCUCGAUGUCGGCUCAUCGCAACCUGGGGCUGAAGUCGGUCCCAAGGGUUGGGCUGUUCGCCCAUUAAAGCGGUACGCGAGCUGGGUUCAGAACGUCGUGAGACAGUUCGGUCCAUAUCCGGUGCAUGCGCAGGAAUAUUGAGAGGAUUUCUCCCUAGUACGAGAGGACCGGGAGGAACGCACCUCUGGUGUACCAGUUAUCGUGCCAACGGUAAACGCUGGGUAGCCAUGUGCGGAGAGGAUAACCGCCGAAAGCAUCUAAGUGGGAAGCCCACCUCAAGAUGAGUAUUCCCAUGGGGUAACCCAGUAAGGUCACGGGAAGAACACCCGUUGAUAGGCUCUACGUGGAAGCGCAGUAAUGUGUGAAGCGGAGGAGUACUAAUAGACCGAGGGCUUGACC